UGGCCCUAUCGUCUAGUGGACUAGGACGUUGGGUUCUCAACCCAAAAACCGGGGUUCGAAUCCCCGUAGGGCCACCAA
rnacentral:tRNA from 1 species